UGCACAUGUUCAGUCUGGAUCGCGGCACCGUGUAAAAAAGGAAGUGGGUCGCAAUCAUUGCUUUUGGCUUUUUCUAAUUGAAUUUGAUAAUCCUUUGCUAUCCUCCACAUUAUAUACCACCUUUUUGAUAACGAUAACACUGGGAUUAUAACUGUUCAUUGUAUUACGGAAUUUACGGAACUGAAAUACACCUAAUUGUGGUGAAUAUCUUUGGUCAUACUAUCCGACGACAUCCACCUGCAUUUAGUGAUAUGAAUGUGGGACUGGAAAGAGUGUGCUGAAUGUUGAAUCUGUAUCUACAAGGUAUCAGUUACUAAAACACUACAAAUUAAGGCAUGGCCAUUUUGGGUGUGAGAUGGGCCGCAUAAUGGAAACAAUGGACAAGAAGGCCAGCAUCGAAACAAGACGGGAAUGCAUUCUAAAGGCACUGAUUGUUUACCUCAACGAAGAACCUGCAAAUCUUGUAAAGAAGUACUUGGACAUUGACCUUGGUGCAAAGAAAAAAAUGGAGGACACUGUCAUUGGAAUAUAUAUACGUCAUCAAAAAGGAAGGAGCAGAGGCUAUGGAUCCCCCAGAGGACGUUGAGGUCAUAAUAGAGGGUGUUGAAGUGCUGCAAGAGCUGGGAGACGUUGCAAAUGCUUGUGCAUCGUCGCUUGGCCUGAUAUACUGUUUGAAUUUGAGCUACCCAAAAGCCCUGAAGUACACAUUUGAGGUGCUGCAAAAAGUUUUGAUGGAGUGGGAUGGGAACAAGCUCUCAACAGUGCAAGUGCUGAAAAACAAACUAAUGCAAUGAAAAUUACAUCAUACAUGGAUAAAGGUACUUUGGACUGUCAGAAGUACCAAGCAAUGGUGGACCUUCUUUUGCAGCACUACGUCGAACAUUCAUGCACCAAACCGGACUGACUGAGUUCAAUUUAGUUUACAACUGUAUAUUGUAUUUUUGGAAUAGAGAGAGAAUUAUGACAUACAGUGGCUUGCGAAAGUAUUCACACCCCUUGGCAUUUUUCUUAUUUUGUUGCCUUACAACCUGGA